rnacentral:rRNA from 1 species
GGCGGACGGGUGAGUAACGCGUGGGAACCUGCCCUGGGGUGGGGGAUAACCGCUGGAAACGGCGGCUAAUACCGCAUGUGCCUUGAGGGGCAAAGGUCUUUAUGGCCGCCUUGGGAGGGGCCCGCGUCUGAUUAGCUUGUUGGUGGAGUAAUGGCCUACCAAGGCUUCGAUCGGUAGCUGGUCUGAGAGGAUGAUCAGCCACACUGGGACUGAGACACGGCCCAGACUCCUACGGGAGGCAGCAGUGGGGAAUAUUGGACAAUGGGGGAAACCCUGAUCCAGCAAUGCCGCGUGAGUGAAGAAGGCCUUAGGGUUGUAAAGCUCUUUCGCCCGUGACGAUGAUGACGGUAACGGAGAAGAGCCCGGCUAAUUCCGUGCCAG